GACGAACGCUGGCGGCGUGCUUAACACAUGCAAGUCGAACGGAAAGGCCCUGCUUUUGUGGGUUGCUCGAGUGGCGAACGGGUGAGUAACACGUGAGUAACCUGCCCUUGACUUUGGGAUAACUUCAGGAAACUGGGGCUAAUACCGGAUAGGAUCUCCUGCUGCAUGGUGGGGGUUGGAAAGUGUCGGCGGUUGGGGAUGGACUCGCGGCUUAUCAGCUUGUUGGUGGGGUAGUGGCUUACCAAGCCUUUGACGGGUAGGCGACCUGGGAGGGUGACCGGCCACAUUGGGACUGAGAUACGGCCCAGAAUCCUACGGGAGGCAGCAGUGGGGAAUACUGCACAAUGGGCGGGAGCCUGAUGCAGCAACGCCGCGUGCGGGAUGCCGGCUUUCGGGUUGUAAACCGCUUUCGCCUGUGACGAAGCGUGAGUGACGGUAAUGGGUAAAGAAGCACCGGCUAACUACGUG
rnacentral:rRNA from 1 species